CUUAACGGAUGGGACUAUUUCACUCAUAGAUAUCCAGAGAAAGUUCCAGAUCGCAGUUCUGGAGACCUUGCUUGUGAUUCGUAUGAUCUUUACAAGGAGGAUGUCAAAUUACUGAAAAGAAUGAAGGUUCAAGCAUACAGACUCUCAAUAGCAUGGUCAAGGAUCUUACCAAAGGGAAGAUUGAUUGGAGGGAUUGACGAAAACCGGAUAAAAUACUACAAUAAUAUCAUCAACGAGUUAAAAGCAAAUGGUAAAAUAUAUUUUAUAAAUUUCUAUUUUAAUAAUACAUAUAUUAGCAAGUUUUAACUGUCUAUCACUUUUUGUGCGAAUAAAGGCAUAGAACCGUACGUAACAAUAUUCCACUGGGAUGUUCCCCAAACUCUAGAAGAUGAGUAUGGAGGUUUCUUGAGUUUAUGAAGGAUUUUGGAUCCAUUGGUUUAUGGAAGAUAUCCAAAGAUAAUGCGACAGAUGGUUGGACCUAGAUUGCCAAAAUUAACACCUCAAGAAUCAAAGUUAAUCAACGGAUCACUUGAUUUUCUAGGGUUGAACUAUUAUGUUACACAA